rnacentral:lncRNA from 1 species
AGCAGGCUAAAUUUUCUUAGAGAAAAAAAUUCAAUUUGAAGAGGACUGUUCCGGCUGAUCCCGAAUGGAUACCCAUAGAGGUCAGACACUUGUGUGACUAGAAAAAAAUAUCUUCUCUUCUAAAUCUAGAUUUAAAUAAAAGAAUUAUGAAACAGAUAUACGAUUUGAUUACAAUCUAAAUUUCAGCAUUUAUCAAUUUCAGC